rfam:Gossypium arboreum cultivar AKA8401 contig_70677_1, whole genome shotgun sequence.
AUGUCGUGAUGAGGCCACUUUUGUAAUAACUCAUUGAAUCACUCCCAUGCCUCAUAUAAAGAUUCUUCAUCAAGUUGCUAAAAUGAAGUGAUUUCAUUAAGGAUUUU